CUGGGAGCCAGCAAGGGGAAAAACAAAAAGGCAAAUGGCAUGGAAAAUAAUCCUGGCAGGAAGCUUCAUAAUGAGCAAAUGGGGGAAGGGAUCUCAAAAGGAUAACUACCAGUUUUAAGAGCAGCUGGAGGAGCGAACACUUCAUUCUGAAGAUGACAGCCAGGUGGCAUGGAGUGCACUGAAGCAACCACCAGCAGUGCCUGGAAGAGCAGCACAGUGUUGGUGCGCGAAGGAGAGGUAUAGUCCUUCUUGACAUUGAGAUCCAGACAAGAUUUGCAGAUAUUGGACAAAACAGCAUUUGGUAUGCAAAGCAUUGAUGUAACCAGCUCCUGAGCUUGUUCUGUUUAACAAAUGGUCUGCUGGGAUUUUUUUGGAUCAGUU